rnacentral:SRP_RNA from 1 species
GGCCAGGUCCUGUGCAAGGGCAGGCGCGUGAACUCCGCCAGGGCCGGAAGGCAGCAACGGUAACGACGUCCUCCUUGUGCCGCAGGGUGCCUGGCCACU